UCCCCCUCGUACCUUUUGCAUCAUGAUUUAGCUAGUAUAAUCAAGCAAAGCGCCCUUUAGUUUGACGCCCCGAAACUGAGGGAGCUACUUCAAGACAGCCUAAAAAUAGGGCGAACCCUUCCCUGUGGCAAAAGGGUGGGACGAGCUUCAAGUAGAGGUGACAAACCUAACGAACUCAGUUAUAGCUGGUUGCCUGAGAACUGGAUAUAAGUUCAGCCUCCCGGCUCCUUACUGAACCAAGAGAGUUAUUCAAAAGAGGUACAGCUCUUUUGAAAAAAGACACAACUUUAUUUAGGAGAUUAAAGAUUAAACUUUAUUAAAGCAGCUUUUCCGAGUAGGCCUAGAAGCAGCCACCCCCUUAGAUAGCGUUAAAGCUCAAACAAACAAUACCAAUAAACAAAUCUAAUAUCCCUCAAUCUAUCAGGCCUCCCUAUUCUUUCACUUAUAGGAGAGACCAUGCUAAUAUGAGUAAUAAGAGAAAUUUCUCUCCCCGCAUAAGUGUAAAACGGAACGGACACGCCACCGAAAAUUAAACGGACCCACCCCAGAGGGAAAUUGGUUAAAUGCAAGAAAAUUACCCCCCGUUAAUCUCACACUAGAAUGCUCCCGGAAAGACCAAAAGGGAAGGAAGGAACUCGGCAAAUAAGCUUCGCCUGUUUACCAAAAACAUCGCCUCUUGUAAAAAUAAGAGGUCCUGCCUGCCCAGUGAUCAAAAGUUCAACGGCCGCGGUAUUCUGACCGUGCAAAGGUAGCGUAAUCACUUGUCCUUUAAAUGAAGACCUGUAUGAAUGGCGCGACGAAAGCUUAACUGUCUCCCCUCCCCUGUCAAUGAAAUUGAUCUCCCCGUGCAGAAGCGGGGAUAAACACAUAAGACGAGAAGACCCUGUGGAGCUUCAAACACCAAGCCCAGCUCGCAUAAAUACCCAAACAUAAAUUAAGUGUAUAAAACAUAUGACCCCUGAGCUAAUGUUUUCGGUUGGGGCGACCAUGGGGAAAUAAAAAACCCCCAAGAGGAUAGAAGCAUCUUCCACAAAAAAGGCUGACAAGCCUAAUUUACAGAACCUCUGACCUAUACAGAUCCGGCACAAGCCGAUCAACGAAUCAAGUUACCCCAGGGAUAACAGCGCAAUCCUCUUCAAGAGCCCAUAUCGACAAGGGGGUUUACGACCUCGAUGUUGGAUCAGGACAUCCUAAUAGUGCAG
rnacentral:rRNA from 1 species